GUGGAGCGACGACAACGAGGAAUCGGGCUACCAGUACUCUUCAGGCGGCUCCCCUAUCAAGAUCCCGGCUACAAUCGAGGACCCGAACUACUCUGGUGUUGACGAUGAGGUGAUGGUGAUGUGUGAGCAUGGCCAGCCGGCGAAGAGGCAUGUUUGCUUCGAAGGGAUUAGCACUGGGAGGAGGUUCAUUGCCUGUGGACUUGAUGAAGCAAGCAGUUGUGGUGUUGUUCAGUGGGUAGAUGAGGAGUGGCCAGAGCAUCUGCAUAAUGCUCUUCACAAACUAUGGCUUUUGUAUGAGGAUUGCCAGCGUGCUAAUAGGAUGGCAUGUCUGGAACAUGCAUCA